AAAAGUCCCUUCCUUUUGUGCUGGGUUUGCAGUCAGAUGGCCGAGGUUCAGCCGUUCAGUUUGCAGCCAAGAAAAGCUUUGUUCGCUUCCUCCAGGAUCUGAUCAGCAUGCUUCAGGAGUUUGUUAGAAUACCAAGUCAAGAAGAACUUCCCUUUCUCGGUAAGACAGAGAAAAAUCAAGAAUGAAACGAGUAGCAGUUGUCGGGAAUCUUGUACAGAUUUUCAUCCCAACAGUCCCGACUAACAUAAUGAAGUGAGCUUGAAACUUACCUCUACAGCAGUUCGUCCAUGAAACAGGGGCUGAUUAUCCACCCCUAGACUGAGGUAUUCUGGGUUCCUGUUACCU